rnacentral:lncRNA from 1 species
GGCCUUCUGACGGGAUGCCAGCGUGUACCUUUCUCUGAAUUUGGGGGUAAAGCUGAUGAAAAGUGGGAUUUGACGGGAACAUGAUCCAUCAUCAUGGUUGCCGUGCGUGCAGGGUUAGGUGGGAGCUUGUCAGUCGCAUUCAAUGCUUUGAAUCCCGUACCAGCAAUAGGUUGUCGGGGCGCGCCUUUGCGCUCGAGGCUGGUUGGUUCGCUCGAUGCUAUUUCUGUAAUCAAAGGUUGUCUAGCCUUGAGCCUUUAGGCGUUCGCUCGACCCUAUUUCCAUCACCGAGACUAGGGUCGAUCAGCGCGCAUAUGU